CUGGAGACUAAGAAAAGAGAGUCCUUGAAGUCAAGCUGGCUCUGCUUCUAGUCUCCAAAAUGAAAAGGUAGAUAGAACAGGUCUUGUGAACGAAAUAUAUUCAAGACUUACAUAUCUACCAACAGCA
rnacentral:snoRNA from 15 species